rnacentral:rRNA from 1 species
UACAGAGGUGGCAAGCGUUGUUCGGAUUUACUGGGCGUAAAGCGCACGUAGGCGGGUUGUUAAGUCAGGGGUGAAAUCCUGGAGCUCAACUCCAGAACUGCCUUUGAUACUGAGGAUCUUGAGUUCGGGAGAGGUGAGUGGAACUGCGAGUGUAGAGGUGAAAUUCGUAGAUAUUCGCAAGAACACCAGUGGCGAAGGCGGCUCACUGGCCCGAUACUGACGCUGAGGCACGAAAGCGUGGGGAGCAAACAGG